GACGAACGCUGGCGGCGUGCCUAAUACAUGCAAGUCGAACGCAGUGGGGACGGGUGAGUAACACGUGGGUAACCUCCCAUCAGAGGGGAUAACACUUGGAAACAGGUGCUAAACCGAUACUGAUGGAUGAACCCGCGGUGCAUUAGCUAGUUGGUGAGGUAACGGCUCACCAAGGCCACGAUGCAUAGCCGACCUGGGAGGGGAACCGGCCACACGGGAACUGAGAAAGGGCCCAGACUCCGACGGGAGGAAGCAGUAGGGAAUCUUCGGCAAUGGACGAAAGCCUGACCGAGCAACGCCGCGUGAGUGAAGAGGGUUUCCGGAUCGUAAAACUCUGUUGUUAGAGAAGCGGUAUCUAACCAGAAAGCCACGGCUAACUACGUGCCAGCAGCCGCGGUAAUUC
rnacentral:rRNA from 1 species